rnacentral:rRNA from 1 species
CCUACGGGAGGCUGCAGUGGGGAAUAUUGGGCAAUGGACGCAAGUCUGACCCAGUAACGCCGCGGGAAGGAAGAAGGCUUUCGGGUUGUAAACUUCUUUUAAGGGGGAAGAGCAAAAGACGGUACCCCUUGAAUAAGCCACGGCUAACUAAGGGCCAGCAGCCGCGGUAAUACGUAGGGGGCAAUCGUUGUCCGGGUUUACUGGGUGUAAAGGGCGUGCAGCAGGAGAGACAAGUCAGAUGUGAAAUCCACGGGCUCAACACGUGAACUGCAUGUGAAACUGUUUCCCUUGAGUGUCGGAGAGGUAAUCGGAAUUCCUGGUGUAGCGGGGAAAUGCGUAGAUAUAAGGAAGAACACCAGUGGCGAAGGCGGAUUACUGGACGAUAACUGACGGUGAGGCGCGAAAGCGUGGGGAGCAAACAGGAUUAGAUACCCCUGUAGUC